GCCCUCGUAGUUCAAUGGUUAGAACGACUCACUCCUAACGAGUAAAUUGAGGUUCGAUUCCUCGCGAGGGCA
rnacentral:tRNA from 1 species